CUGACCUGUGGCUUUGUUUCCUCUGUGGUUCCCAGUACAGCGCCGUGGACAGCAACCCCCUGUCCCUGUACGUGAUGCAUCCCUUCUGGAACACCAUCGUCAAGAUCUUCCCCACCUGGCUGGCCCCAAACUUGAUCACCUUCUCUGGCUUCCUGCUCCUUGUCUUCAACUUCUUCCUCAUGGCGUACUUCGACCCGGACUUCUACGCCUCCGCUCCUGACCACCAGCACGUUCCCAACGGAGUGUGGAUCGUUGUGGGGCUCCUCAACUUCAUGGCCUACACGUUAGAUGGAGUGGACGGGAAGCAGGCGCGCCGGACCAACUCCAGCACCCCCCUGGGGGAGCUCUUCGACCACGGGCUGGACAGCUGGGCCUGCGUGUACUUCGUGGUGACCGUCUACUCCACCUUUGGCCGCGGCUCCACCGGCGUCAGCGUCUUCGUGCUCUACCUCCUGCUCUGGGUGGUCUUGUUCUCCUUCAUCCUCUCCCACUGGGAGAAGUACAACACGGGCAUUCUGUUCCUGCCCUGGGGAUAUGACAUCAGCCAGGUGACCAUUUCAAUUGUCUACAUAGUGACAGCCUUUGUGGGAGUUGAGGCCUGGUAUGCACCUUUCCUGUUUAAUUUCUUAUAUAGAGACCUAUUCACUGCAAUGAUUAUUGCCUGUGCUCUCACUGUGACGCUGCCCAUGAGCCUGUACAACUUCUACAAGGCCUAUAAAAGCAACACCUUGAAGCACCACUCUGUGUAUGAGAUCCUGCUGCCCCUCGUGUCCCCGGUGCUGCUGUUCCUGCUCUGCACCACGUGGAUCUUCCUGUCCCCCUCUGACAUCCUGGAGGUCCAGCCCAGGCUCUUCUACUUCAUGGUUGGAACAGCCUUUGCCAACAUCUCUUGCCAGCUGAUCGUGUGCCAGAUGAGCAGCACGCGGUGCCGGCCCCUGCACUGGAUGCUGCUGCCCAUCGCGGCCGCGCUGCUGCUCGUCGCCUCGGGGCUGGCGGCCCACAGCGAGACGCUGCUGCUCUACCUGCUGACGGCCUUCCUCACCCUGGCACACAUCCACUACGGCGUGCUCGUGGUGAGCCAGCUGAGCAGGCACUUCAACAUCCGGCCCUUCUCCCUCAAGAAGCCCACCCCGGACUGACUAGGGCUGGAGGAGGAGAGAGUGGGCCUGCGCUCCGCAGAGGGACUGUAAAUACCUGCUGCAAACCCCUGUAAAUACUUCGGCCAUCCCACAGACCCAGCCUCCUCCCCCUGGACGGGCACCAGGGCUGGGACACGCCGGGGACACUCCCACCCUCCUCCGGCACCGCAAAGGGGCUUCGCCUGGAGCUGGAGCAGGAGGAGCCUCCAGGUCACUGCUACUGUAUCUGAGACCAGCUGAAUGUUCCCAGGGAAACGUCCAACGCCGGCUCUUGCUCAGGUAAAGCUGGACGGGGAUGCAAAGGCUUUACCUGAGCAAAGCCCCUCUGGGCCUGUCACCAAAACCAACACGGGGCUCGUUUCUCCCAGGUCGGGGGAACAUCCUGGUGGUCGGGGGAGUUCCUGGCUGUCCCCAGCCCUGCUGGACAACCCUCGGCCUGGGCUGGUACCUCUGGGGCACAUGGUGACAGCUCUCCCACGUUCUCUCCUGCCUUCCUGCAUUUGGGCAAAUAUUGCACCUUUUUUAAGAGGGGGGGGAAAAAAAACCCAGACACACACAAAACUUGUAGUUAAAUCCUGACUGAUGGGGGGGGGAGGGCUUAAAAAGUUAGGUCUCAGUUUCCUGUAAGAGUGGGACUGUGGCUUCUGCCUGCCCUGCUCGAGCUGUGGGUGCCUGGGACCACAUCUCAGCCACAUCCCUGCCUGUCCGUGUGUGUUCCCAGUCCAGGAAUGGGGUCUGGGCUCCCAGUGGCCACGGGAAGUGUCUGAGCCCACAGGGCUGAGCUCCCACGUCUUCCUCCCUCCCAGCAGGGCUGUGCUGUUGUGGUGGGCUCUGCGGGUCCUUGGCUGCCGGAGCCACCACUCCCAGGCACAGCCCAGCCCUUCCCACCAGCGCUUCCACCGCCCGGAGAAGCACCCGGAGCCUCGUGUUGGUUGUGUGUGCACCUUCAGAGCCCUCACUGGGGGGGAGGGUGUGGUGGGAACCCUCCCCAGUCCCACUGUCUCCUCGUCCCCAGCGGCCGCGUGUCUCAUCCAGGGAUCUCUUUGUUUACUGUCCGCUUGUCCAAGACGUGUGUGCGUUGAUCUGACUUUUUUAAUUUGUGUUUAUGAUUGAGUUCGAGUGGGGUGGUGAAGACUGAAUGCUGAUUUUCUUUUCCUGUUGGCUUGAUUUAAUGCAGACCUGUGCUUGAAUGAAGAGUGUAGCUUAAAGCCAGGCUCUGGAAAGGCUGCAUCCGGAAGCGAACAAGCACAGCAGAUAGUGCAGGUGUAACUGCCAUGGGAACAAAGUCCUUCAGACUCUGAUUACUGUGCAACGUGGGGCACAACAGCCUGGUCAGGGCGUUUUCCUUCUGCAGGAGGAGGCUCCUGCUGCUCUAGGAAACCUCCAACGUGUGAGUUACAGCAGCGAGUAACUGCUGUCUGAUGGGUUUGCUUUUGUAAAUUGGAAUCACUGUCACGCAGGAGACGAGACUUGAAACCCUGAGGUUGAGCUCGUGAGUUCGUGGGGCUCAACUCGGGGCCACUUGGUCACCCCUUGGUCGGCCCACGGUCACAUGGUGCGGCCUGUGAGGAGCAACUGGGGCCUCCCCCAGGGCUGAGGAGUGAGCAGGUACCUCCUGAGGGCUGAGGAACAAACAGGUACCUCCCCCUGGGCUGAGGGAUGAGCAGGUACCUCCUGAGGGCUGAGGAACAAACAGGUACCUCCCCCAGGGCUGAGAAUGAACAGGUACCUCCCCCUGGGCUGAGAAUGAACAGGUACCUCCCCCAGGGCUGAGAAUGAACAGGUACCUCCCCCUGGGUUGAGAAUGAACAGGUACCUCCCCCUGGGUUGAGGGAUGAACAGGUACCUCCCUCUGGGCUGAGAAUGGACAGGUACCUUCCCCGGGGCUGAGGAGUGAACAGGUACCUCCCCCAGGGCUGAGAAUGAACAGGUACCUCCCCCAGGCUGAGGGAUGAACAGGUACCUCCCCCAGGGCUGAGGAAUGAGCAGGUACUUCCUGAGGGCUGAGAAUGAACAGGUACCUCCCCCAGGGCUGAGAAUGAACAGGUACCUCCCUGGGCUGAGGAGUGAGCAGGUACCUCCUGAGGGCUGAGGAAUGAGCAGGUACCUCCCCCUGGGCUGAGGAACAAACAGGUACCUCCCCCAGGGCUGAGCAGUGAGCAGGUACCUCCUGAGGGCUGAGGAACAAACAGGUACCUCCCCCUGGGCUGAGGAAUGAGCAGGUACCUCCCCCUGGGCUGAGGAACAAACAGGUACCUCCCCCAGGGCUGAGAAUGAACAGGUACCUCCCCCUGGGCUGAGGGAUGAACAGGUACCUCCCCCUGGGUUGAGAAUGAACAGGUACCUCCCCCUGGGUUGAGGGAUGAACAGGUACCUCCCUCUGGGCUGAGAAUGGACAGGUACCUUCCCCGGGGCUGAGGAGUGAACAGGUACCUCCCCCAGGCUGAGGGAUGAACAGGUACCUCCCUGGGCUGAGGAGUGAGCAGGUACCUCCUGAGGGCUGAGGAAUGAGCAGGUACCUCCCCCAGGGCUGAGCAGUGAGCAGGUACCUCCCCCAGGGCUGAGGAACAGACAGGUACCUCCUCCCUGGGCUGAGGAGUGAGCAGGUACCUCCUCCAGGGCUGAGGAGUGGGCAGGUACCUCCUCAGGGCUGAGAAUGAACAGGUACCUCCCCCUGGGCUGAGAAUGAACAGGUGACUCCCCCUGGGCUGAGGAGUGAGCAGGUACCUGCUGAGGGCUGAGGAACAAACAGGUACCUCCCCCUGGGCUGAGAAUGAACAGGUACCUCCCCCAGGGCUGAGAAUGAACAGGUACCUCCUCCAGGGCUGAGGAACAGACAGGUACCUCCCCCAGGGCUGAGAAUGAACAGGUACCUCCUCCCUGGGCUGAGGAGUGAGCAGGUACCUGCUGAGGGCUGAGGAACAAACAGGUACCUCCCCCAGGGCUGAGAAUGAACAGGUACCUCCUCCCUGGGCUGAGGAGUGAGCAGGUACCUGCUGAGGGCUGAGGAACAAACAGGUACCUCCCCCAGGGCUGAGAAUGAACAGGUACCUUCCCCAGGGCUGCCACCCAUCGUGGGAGGCUCUGGAUGUCCGUGGGAGGCUCUGGAUGUCCAUGGGAGGCUCUGGCUGUCCGUGUGCUCACGUGUCCAUGUGGCUGCGACGUGGCCGGGAAAGGGGGCGGGUGGUUUUCAGAGUUUAUUUAAUAUAAAGUCCCUUCCUCCCAUCCCUUUUACUGAUGUUGUACAGAGAAAAAAAAAAAAAAAACCCUCGGUGGGCAAAUGAA